UCCAGCUGAUCCGAGAGGCUUUUUAAAGGGUUUAUUUAGCUUCAGAAGGACGAAGAGGAGGAUUUACUCUUCAUCAUCCUUCAGUUCAUCACAAACAUUCAACAUCAACACACCUGGACACACCUGGUUCUACCUGGACAGGAAGGACUGAUCUCAUAUAUGAUGAAACAACCUGAUUCUAUUUCAACUGAAAUCAUGAAGAGCUGCUGGACAGGAAGUUAACACGGUCACCAUGGCGACAGCAUCAGAACAACAUGACACGGUUAGCAUGUAGCAUGUAGCAUGUAUGAGCCCCUGUCACAUCUGGAUGUAUAGGGAGUUUAAAUCUCUCCAUCAGUCAGAUUAUUAAUGAGAGCGUCCAGGAAGUUAAACUGAGUGUGUGUCAGAACAUCACAGGAGGAAACGAGGGAACAAUAAACACAGACACGUGUUUGUGACGGUGACCAUAAUGUUUGUAACACUCAACAUGGACUCUCAGAUCUGCUCCGCACGUUUUACAACCAGACAAUCGGAACUACUGAGAUCAAUAGAGUGGAUAACCAGAGACCAGAGGUGAGUCUGCAGAGCUCAGCUGGUUAGCUUAGCUUAGCAUAAAGACUGGAAGCAGAGGGAAACAGCUAGCCUGGCACUGAUCCCCUAAGUUAACCGUCAUCAGGAGAAUCUCAAUUAGGGCUGCAACUAUUUUCAUUAUUGAUUCAUCUACCGAGGGCUGGCUUCAGGCGUCGGCCAGGUUAUAUAGGCGGCUGCCUAUAUUGGGCGCCACCUUCUGCCGGCGGGCGCCCGUCCUCAUUUUCUGCAAUCAGUUAUUUAGACCCCUAGUGGCUUUUACGUGGGCCGAGCCCCGAUCUGAUGGCACGACUGGGCUGGGACGCACUGAGGACAGUCCGCCCCGGUCGACAGUCGCACCGGGAGCAGGGGGCCCCGUCCCAACCCGGCGGGGAGAGAGGGAGCAGCGAGUCCUUUGUCCACGGUGCAGCGAGGUCCGGGCGGGGAGCGCUGUAACGCUGCAGCCCUGGGAAGCACCUUGACCCCCAGCCUUUCCAAGCCGACCUAGAGCCUCGUAUGCGGGACUCCCCAGCCUGCCGUGUGUCGCUGGCUGUUAACGAGGGUCUUCUGGCACAGAGAAGUACUCGUAUCGGUACUCCGUAUCGGAGAGUACCCAGAUGUGAGUACUUGUACUCGGUCUGAUAUAAAGUGGUAUCGGAGCAUCCCUGGUCUAAACUGGUGGAUUAAUCUCUCAGCUAGUGAGGAUGGGGAUGUCUUUAUUCACUUUAAUGUGAUAAAAAACAGAGAAAAAUCUCCAUAUUUGAGGAUGAAAACUGAAGUUUCUGACAUUUUUUGUCAUGAAAACUAUGUGAAGGAUUAAUUGAUUAUCAGAAUAGUUGACUGGUGAUGACGCUGAUGAUCAAUCGAUUAAUAAAAUGCAUUUUAAUAAAGAUCUGUGUCCGUAAACAGCAGUUUAUUAGUCAUUAAUUAUAGUGUGAAGAAGAGUUCAGGUGGUUUUAGUUCCUGUUGGAACAGAUCUCAGGUCAGCUGAUGACACACUGUCAUGGUUUGUGAUUCUGGGCUUUAUAAAUAAAGUUGACUUGAAUCUGUGAUGAUGAGACAGCAGAAUAUUUCAGCAGGUAAACAUCAGAUUCAGUUUGAGGACUUUGAGAACACGUUUUCUCCUCUAAUAUUAAAUAUACAUAUAUAUAUAUAUAUAUGUAUAUAAAUAUUAAUAUCCUCAGAUACAACAGAGAGUUUAAAGGGAAGCAUCGGCAGAUGUAUUUGAGAGAAAAGAGUUUACAGAGUGGAACAGUUUCUUACCUUCAGUCUGCAGCUCGACGUGUUUCUGUUCCAGAGCCUGAAACUCAGGUUGGCCUGUGACGUCACCGGUGGGCGGAGCCUCCGUCAAUCAGAGUUGUCAGACACCUGAAGACACCUGAAGACACCUGAAGACAGAUAGGACCGAGGACAUUCCUGCUGGACGGGGGUGUGUGUGUGAGAACAGGUGAAGGUGUGUGUGUGUGUGUUUGUGUGUGUGUGUGAACAGGUGAAGGUGUGAGGUGGUGAAUCCUGUUUGGCGGUUGGUCCUCCUGGGCUGUGAUUGGCUGAUUCUUAUCCUCUGUGCUGUGUAACUCUGCUUUGCAUUUUUGCUCCAGAUAUGUGCAUGUAAAUGUGUUCUAUGCUAAACCUCAUGAAACUUUACAGCCACAAACUAGAGACCUAGAGCAUUCAGAGGAUGGAUGGAUCAGACUACAGACCUAGAGCAUUCAGA